rnacentral:rRNA from 1 species
UACGGAGGGGGCUAGCGUUGUUCGGAAUUACUGGGCGUAAAGCGCACGUAGGCGCCUGUGCAAGUCAGUUGUGAAAUCUCCGGGCUUAACUCGGAACGGUCAACUGAUACUGCUCGGCUAGAGUGCGGAAGGGGCAACUGGAAUUCUUGGUGUAGCGGUGAAAUGCGUAGAUAUCAAGAGGAACACCUGCGGCGAAGGCGGGUUGCUGGGCCGACACUGACGCUGAAGUGCGAAAGCUAGGGGAGCGAACGGG